rnacentral:rRNA from 1 species
UACGUAGGCAGCGAGCGUUGUUCGGAAUUACUGGGCGUAAAGAGCUCGUAGGCGGUCUGUCGCGUCGAUCGUGAAAACUUGGGGCUUAACCCUGAGCUUGCGGUCGAUACGGGCAUGACUGGAGUUCGGCAGGGGAGACUGGAAUUCCUGGUGUAGCGGUGAAAUGCGCAGAUAUCAGGAGGAACACCGGUGGCGAAGGCGGGUCUCUGGGCCGAUACUGACGCUGAGGCACGAAAGCGUGGGGAGCAAACAGG